GAUCGGCGAAAUGUCCAGCUGGCUGGUUCGAGGUUGCCUUUGCUAGAUAUUGCUGCACAAAUAGCAGCAACUUGUGCACUGAACUCAUCCUUUGUUGAGCCAAGCAGUGGUGUUGAACAGUAAUGUCACAGAUGGCUCUUUUGCAUUUAGCUAGGUCAUUGAGCCUGCAGCUGCCACUGAGAGCUAGGAAUGGACUUAACCGCAGUGCUAAACUGAAAUCAGUUUGCCCGACUUCUGCGAGGGGGGUUGCCUCCAUCAUCGACGGUCGGAGAAUCGCCGGCGAGAUCAAGAGCGAGCUGCGCGUGGAGAUCGAUCAGCUGACCAGCGGUUAGUCGGCCGGUCUUGCGGCCAGCUGAGCCGGGCUCGUCGCUGUGGCCCGGCUCGACGCGGCUGGAAACUACUGUCACUAGUGGACUGAAGACCGAACA